rnacentral:lncRNA from 1 species
UUUUUUCCCAUUGAGAUGGGUUUCCCUUCAAUGUCUGGUGAUUCUUCAUUGUUCACAUUUAAUAGUGACACGUGAAGAAGGAGAAUGAGUCUGUGUUAUCAUUAGUGAAAGGCUCGUCUAGAUGGUGAUUCUUCACUGUUCACAUUUAAUAGUGACACGUGAAGAAGGAGAAUGAGUCUGUGUUAUCAUUAGUGAAAGGCUUGUCUAGAUGGUGAUUCUUCAUUGUUCACAUUUAAUAGUAACACAUGAAGGAGAAUGAGUCUGUGUUAUCAUUAGUGAAAGGCUCGUCUAGGUGGUGAUUCUUCACUGUUCACAUUUAAUAGUAACACAUGAAGGAGAAUGAGUCUGUGUUAUCAUUAGUGAAAGGCUCGUCUAGAUGGUGAUUCUUCACUGUUCACAUUUAAUAGUGACACGUGAAGAAGGAGAAUGAGUCUGUGUUAUCAUUAGUGAAAGGCUCGUCUAGAUGGUGAUUCUUCACUGUUCACAUUUAAUAGUGACACGUGAAGAAGGAGAAUGAGUCUGUGUUAUCAUUAGUGAAAGGCUCGUCUAGGUGGUGAUUCUUCACUGUUCACAUUUAAUAGUAACACAUGAAGGAGAAUGAGUGUGUUAUCAUUAGUGAAAGGCUCGUCUAGGUGGUGAUUCUUCACUGUUCACAUUUAAUAGUAACACGUGAAGGAGAAUGAGUGUGUUAUCAUUAGUGAAAGGCUCGUCUAGAGGUUUUGCUUCGGGGAGUCGAUGGGGUUUCCGCAUGUUAGUAAGUGAUGCCUUUGGUCUGGAUGGUUUCCUUCCUCUGGAGAAAACCUUCUCCUCUCCUCUCUGGAAGGCAGCUGCUUGCUUGUUGGUUGUUGGUGUUCUACUCACUGGUUACCCGAGGGGUGGGGUGCUGGCAUCGGUGAGGGAGGAUAAUGAGGGUUGACUGUCAAUGUACAGAUUUUAAUCGACCCUCCUGUUUUCUGAUGCCUGCCUCACUUCUCUGCCCCUCACCCCCAGGAAGGUCCACAGAUGAUGCUCCUUCUCACGGAUGCGAGGCCAUCAAAUCACUUUUUGUCUCCGCUGCUCUCUCUCCAUCGUGGAUAGCCACCAUGGUUUCUCAGGAGGGAAAGGACACAACUGGCAGAAUCUACGGUCUCUAUUUUCCCGUUGCGAGAUUUCAGCGGAGAGCCUGGUGGCACUUACAGCAGACAUCACAGAUGCCUCAGCGUUUCGGAUGAGGACAGUAAAGACCUUCCUUGCUUCAUGAAACCUUCGUUUUCCAGGGGAGAAAACACAGGAUUUCUGUGGGGCGGAAAGCAGAAAUAUCAUGAGCUCAGUGGAGAGAGAGAAGGCAGUUUUCCAGGCUGGGAGCAGUCAGAUCUCCAGUGGGUCCCAACACUGCUCUGUAGCAAUGCCUAGAAGGUGAUGGAAACAGGGUGAACAUGAGGAGUAUCAAGUCCAAAAUGAAGCUCUUCAAACCAUCUGGGAAGAGAAAACAGCAUGACAAGGAAAGGUGUAUUUGUCUGAUCCCAGUAAUCAAUAUAAACAUCAAUGAUAACCCCACCUAUUUUUUUAAAUGUAUGAUUUGGAUGAAACAAGAGAAAGAGACUGAUUGUUGCUGAGUCCCUGCUGCAGUCCUGACACAGCUCUCCUUAUUUUGUUGAUGCUCAUGAGGACCCUGAUGUCUGAGGAAGAAGGUUCCCGUCCAGCUCUGCCCCUGGUGUGUCACAUGCCGGCCUUGUCAACGCACACGAGAACCUGACAGGGUGAGUGUUAUAACCCAGUCAUAGAAAAGGAAACUGGCUCUAAAGUGUAUGGCAUCUUGCCCAAGUUCUGACACUUAGCAGAGGCCUGAGUUUAAAUACAGCCUCGUCUUGCUCUUCGACAGCCUCAGCACCACAUGCCCUGGGUGGCCCACGCAGUGAGUCACUGACAGCCCUCGUGGUUGGCCCGUGGCACAGCAUGGAGCGAAAUGGUCCAGUGACCUUUUCAGACACUCGGGCAAUGCGUGGUAUAGUGUAUGUGGUCACUCCCAGUGAGUCCUAUUGUUCAGUUUAAUAGAAUAUCUAAUUCUAUGUUUAUUCUGAAUAAAGGGAGAUUUCUUGUGGUUUUUAAGAAUAUGAAGCAUAUCUAUUUUGCCUACAAGUUGGAAGUUCCGAUACUGUAGGAAGCAUAAGUGCAGGUUAUAAUGAUGGGUUUUUUAUAAGACUGAAUUCACAUCAAACUGAAUCAGUAACUCCAGCUGUAUGAACAGGGUGAAACAUUAAACAUUUAAUGAAAACAAUUCCUUUCUUAGGUCACAGCAAGGACUAAAUAUGUCCAAUUAUCAUGCCCACUAAGAAGAUGUAUUGUAAUAUUUGCAGUUAAUCACUCAUUCACUUCAAAGGGUGUUUAUUAAUUGUCUGCUCUGGGCAUAACAUUAAUUGGAAGCAGUGUGUUCACAUGGAAACAAAACUUACCUGAGACUCUCAGUCACAACUUUCCAUGACCAGUACACGUUUCUAAUUUGAAAUACAUAUCUAAGGCUUCAAAUGCAUAAAUAGGUAUCCCAAUGUAGAACUAAGUCAAUAGUUGCUUUGAAUUAAUUGUUUAAAUUAACCUGGGAAUCGGAAAGAUAUGUCUCCAUGAAACAAUAAAGGCUGUGUUAGAAUUAGUAAACUUUAGAAGAGCAUUUUAAUCCUAAUAUAUAAACAUACUACCUAGGCACACUGUUUAAAUACAUCUGCAACCUACUAUUUUUAGAUUUAAGAAAAUCAUUAAACCUUAAAUUUGGAAAAGAUUCCAGUGUUAGACCUCUAGACUAUGAAACUUGAAUGUUUUUCUAAACUCUUUGAGUUUUAUCCAGAAAUACAGAUUUUCCUGGCACUGACAACUGCAAGAAAUUUCACUUGGAGUCUCCACAUAGUCAACCAUGUGAUGUUAACAUCAGUGUAAUAGAUACUAUCACAAACA